GAUGAACGCUGGCGGCGUGCUUAACACAUGCAAGUCGAACGGGAAACCUUUUAAUGAAGCUUCGGCAGAUUUCGCUGGUUUCUAGUGGCGGACGGGUGAGUAACGCGUGGGUAACCUGCCUUAUACAGGGGGAUAACAGUCAGAAAUGACUGCUAAUACCGCAUAAGCGCACAGGACCGCAUGGUCCGGUGUGAAAAACUCCGGUGGUAUAAGAUGGACCCGCGUUGGAUUAGCUUGUUGGUGGGGUAACGGCUCACCAAGGCGACGAUCCAUAGCCGGCCUGAGAGGGUGAACGGCCACAUUGGGACUGAGACACGGCCCAGACUCCUACGGGAGGCAGCAGUGGGGAAUAUUGCACAAUGGGGGAAACCCUGAUGCAGCGACGCCGCGUGAAGGAAGAAGUAUCUCGGUAUGUAAACUUCUAUCAGCAGGGAAGAUAGUGACGGUACCUGACUAAGAAGCCCCGGCUAACUACGUG
rnacentral:rRNA from 1 species